UACGGAGGAUGCGAGCGUUGUCCGGAAUGACUGGGCGUAAAGGGCGUGUAGGCGGCCUGAUAAGUCUGGAGUGAAAGUCCUGUUUUUAAGGUGGGAAUAGCUUUGGAUACUGUCGGGCUUGAGUGCGGAAGAGGUAAGUGGAAUUCCCAGUGUAGCGGUGAGAUGCGUAGAGAUUGGGAGGAACACCAGUGGCGAAGGCGACUUACUGGGCCGUAACUGACGCUGAGGCGCGAAAGCGUGGGGAGCGAAC
rnacentral:rRNA from 1 species